AGAGUUUGAUCAUGGCUCAGGACGAACGCUGGCGGCGCGCUUAACACAUGCAAGUCGAGCGAGAACCAGGGCUUCGGCCCUGGGGACAGCGGCGAACGGGUGAGUAACACGUGGGUAAUCAACCCUCGACACUGGGAUAGCCCGGGGAAACCCGGAUUAAUACCGGAUGUCCCAUCUGGCCUUCGGGCCGGCUGGAAAAGGUAGCUUCGGCCUCCGGUCGGGGACGAGCCCGCGGCGGAUUAGCUUGUUGGUGGGGUAACGGCCCACCAAGGCGACGAUCCGUAGCUGGUCUGAGAGGACGAUCAGCCACACUGGGACUGAGACACGGCCCAGACUCCUACGGGAGGCAGCAGUGGGGAAUCUUGCGCAAUGGGCGAAAGCCUGACGCAGCGACGCCGCGUGAGGGAAGACGGCCUUCGGGUUGUAAACCUCUUUCAGGAGGGACGAAGCCACUCGGGUUAAUAGCCCAGAGGGUGACGGUACCUCCAGAAGAAGCCCCGGCUAACUACGUGCCAGCCGCCGCGGUAAUUC
rnacentral:rRNA from 1 species